AUUGAACGCUGGCGGCAGGCCUAACACAUGCAAGUCGAGCGAGCGGCGGACGGGUGAGUAAUGUAUGGGGACUGCCCGAUAGAGGGGGAUAACUACUGGAAACGGUAGCUAAUACCGCAUACUAUCGGAUAACCCAUAUGGGAUUAGCUAGUAGGUGAGGUAAUGGCUCACCUAGGCGACGAUCCCUAGCUGGUCUGAGAGGAUGAUCAGCCAAAAUGGGACGGAGAAAAGGCCCAGACUCCGACGGAGGCCGCAGUGGGGAAUAUUGGACAAUGGGGGAAAGCCUGAUGCAGCCAUGGCGCGUGUAGGAAGAAGGCCCUAGGGUUGUAAAGGACUUUCAGUCGGGAGGCGUUACCGACAGAAGAAGCACCGGCUAACUCUGGGCCAGCAGCCGCGGUUAUAC
rnacentral:rRNA from 1 species